AAAAAAAGAAAGAAAGAAGAAAUCGAUUUUUAAUACGAAAAUGGUAUUUGAAUCCAAUUAAGGGAAGCUUCAUAUUUCCCUUCCAACUACGGACAUGGAUUCGUAGCUCUUUUUUACGCAUCUAGCAGCUCAGAUGACAGGCUCCAUACUUCUUAAUCUGCAAUUUCUUUCGUUAACUGAUUCUAGGUUUCGUUCUUACCCUUUCUCGAAUCAUCUUUCUUCAUUUCCGCAUUUGAUCUGCUCUCUUACACGCCCUCGAAUUUCUCGCCUUAUCAAAGUUACUGCUGUAUCGUCCAUGGAGGUGGAACAAGGUGGAGAAUCUGCACCUGUUGACAGCACAGUUCCUCCCAUGAAGCUCUUGUUCGUCGAGAUGGGUGUUGGCUACGAUCAACACGGCCAAGACAUCACGGCUGCUGCAAUGCGAGCCUGCAGGGAUGCAAUCUCUUCCAAUUCGAUUCCAGCAUUCCGUAGAGGUUCCAUUCCUGGAGUCUCAUUUGGAGAGAUGAAACUACAGAUCAAACUUGGGGUUCCACAUUCUCUUCAACAAUCUUUGGAUAUUGAAAAAGUCAAGUCCGUCUUCCCAUAAUUUCAUGUCUCAAGUUACUCACCUUGACUUUACUUUAACCACCACAAGAUCCUUCAAUUGUUUUCGUAUGUUCUGGGCUACUUAUACUGCAACCUCCAGAGUGAUUGGACUAAACGACCAAGGAGAAGUUGAGCAUUAUGGAAAAAUUCUGAAUGUUGAGGUCGUCGAUGGUGGCUUAAUAUGCUCCAGUGGUGUGCAUGUGGAAGAAAUGGGAGACAAAAAUGAUGACUGUUACAUAGUAAAUGCUGCUGUAUAUGUUGGCUACUAAUUUUCGUUGCAUCAUUCCCCUUCGAGGAUCUUGGGGUUACGCGUUGUAGACUGCUAAACAAUGUAAAACCAUGCAUGCUCCAGGUACUUAGUCAUCUAUGAUUGUAAUUAUACAGUUAGCUAA